rnacentral:rRNA from 1 species
UGCAUAUCAAUAAGCGGAGGAAAAGAAACUAACAAGGAUUCCCCUAGUAACGGCGAGUGAACCGGGAAGAGCUCAAAUUUGAAAUCUGGCGUCCUCAGGGCGUCCGAGUUGUAAUCUAUAGAGGCGUUUUCCGUGCCGGACCGUGUCCAAGUUCCUUGGAACAGGAUAUCAAAGAGGGUGACAAUCCCGUACUUGACACGACGACCGGUGCUCUGUGAUACGUCUUCUACGAGUCGAGUUGUUUGGGAAUGCAGCUCAAAAUGGGUGGUGAGUUCCAUCUAAAGCUAAAUAUUGGCGAGAGACCGAUAGCGAACAAGUACCGUGAGGGAAAGAUGAAAAGCACUUUGGAAAGAGAGUUAAACAGUACGUGAAAUUGUUGAAAGGGAAACGAUUGAAGUCAGUCGUGACCGAGAGGCUCAGCCGGUUCUGCCGGUGUAUUCCCCUCGGUCGGGUCAACAUCAGUUUUGUCCGGUGGAUAAGGGCGGUAGGAAGGUGGCACCCUCGGGUGUGUUAUAGCCUGCCGUCGCAUACAUCGGGUGAGACUGAGGAACGCAGCUCGCCUUUAUGGCCGGGGUUCGCCCACGUCCGAGCUUAGGAUGUUGACAUAAUGGCUUUAAACGACCCGUCUUGAAACACGGACC